rnacentral:rRNA from 1 species
UACGAAGGGGGCUAGCGUUGCUCGGAAUGACUGGGCGUAAAGGGCGCGUAGGCGGCUCAUGAAGGCUGUGGUGAAAGUCCGGGGCUCAACCUCGGAUCGGCCGUGGCGACUCGUGGGCUGGAGCACUGUAGAGGCGGGUGGAAUUCCGGGUGUAGCGGUGGAAUGCGUAGAGAUCCGGAAGAACACCAGUGGCGAAGGCGGCCCGCUGGGCAGUGGCUGACGCUGAGGCGCGACAGCGUGGGGAGCAAACAGG